rnacentral:rRNA from 1 species
CCUACGGGUGGCAGCAGUCGAGAAUCAUUCACAAUGGGGGAAACCCUGAUGGUGCGACGCCGCGUGGGGGAAUGAAGGUCUUCGGAUUGUAAACCCCUGUCAUGUGGGAGCAAAUUAAAAAGAUAGUACCACAAGAGAAAGAGACGGCUAACUCUGUGCCAGCAGCCGCGGUAAUACAGAGGUCUCAAGUGUUGUUCGGAAUCACUGGGCGUAAAGCGUGCGUAGGCUGUUUCGUAAGUCGUGUGUGAAAGGCGCGGGCUCAACCCGCGGACGGCACAUGAUACUGCGAGACUAGAGUAAUGGAGGGGGAACCGGAAGUCUCGGUGUAGCAGUGAAAUGCGUAGAUAUCGAGAGGAACACUCGUGGCGAAGGCGGGUUACUGGACAUUAACUGACGCUGAGGCACGAAGGCCAGGGGAGCGAAAGGGAUUAGAUAACCCAGUAGUC